GACGAACGCUGGCGGCGUGCCUAAUACAUGCAAGUAGAACGCUGAAGAGAGGAGCUUGCUCUUCUUGGAUGAGUUGCGAACGGGUGAGUAACGCGUAGGUAACCUGCCUUGUAGCGGGGGAUAACUAUUGGAAACGAUAGCUAAUACCGCAUAACAAUGGAUGACACAUGUCAUUUAUUUGAAAGGGGCAAUUGCUCCACUACAAGAUGGACCUGCGUUGUAUUAGCUAGUAGGUGAGGUAAUGGCUCACCUAGGCGACGAUACAUAGCCGACCUGAGAGGGUGAACGGCCAAACUGGGACUGAGACACGGCCCAGAAUCCUACGGGAGGCAGCAGUAGGGAAUCUUCGGCAAUGGGGGCAACCCUGACCGAGCAACGCCGCGUGAGUGAAGAAGGGUUUCGGAUCGUAAAGCUCUGUUGUAAGUCAAGAACGGGUGUGAGAGUGGAAAGUUCACACUGUGACGGUAGCUUACCAGAAAGGGACGGCUAACUACGUG
rnacentral:rRNA from 1 species